rnacentral:rRNA from 1 species
UCUGCUCAAUGAUUUUUUAAAUUGCUGUGGUAUUUUGACUAUACGAAGGUAUUGAAAUAAGAUUUUAAAUGAGUGCUAAGAGAAUGGUUGAACAAUUAAAGACUUUCUUUAAUUAAAAAAUUAAAUUUAAUUUUUUAAAGCGCAAAAGCAAAAAUGAAAAUUUGGGACAAGAAGACCCUAUGAAUUUUUAUUUAUUUUUUAAUUUUUAAAAAUUAUUAAAAUAAAUUUGAUUGGGGCGAUGGAUAAAGAGUAGAUAUCUUUAUUUAAAUUUAAAAAAU